GGGGGUUUUCAUCAAGAUGCAGUUGAAGUGUUUAGUGAUUCUUAGAGUGCCACUAUCCAAGAAUGAUGUGAACAAAGCAUAUUACUCAGAAGUAUAACUUUAUACUGGACUUGAUUGCAGACGGUUUGGUGAAGCUAACAAAGACUACUCUUUACAAUACAGCUGAUGCCCUUACCAAGGUGUUACCGGUGAGGAAGCUCUAAAAUGCUCUGGAACUAUUCUAGAUUUCAAAGAACUGACAAUAGUCAGAAAGAUUGGUGGAAUCCAAGAACUAGAAUCAAUGAAACUCAAAUCCAAGGUAGAGUUUUGUGGAUAUGGUUUUGAGUCCGAACAGAGGAAUGUCUGUUCUUCUCUACGGAUAAGUGUUGAUGGCAUUCAACUUAGAAGGCUUUUAUAGUUGCAGAAGACCAUGACUACGAUUCCAACAUGAAAUGAGAGCAAGUGAGAGUCCUGUGGCGUGUGCAUUGGAUCUUUCUCAAAAUGAACCAGAAGUUGGCUGGUUCUUGAGAACUAAGCUUCGACAGAAGAGGAAGUCGGUUCUGCAGUACUCUCCUUUUGGGACCACUCUCAUACGACAUGGUUGGGGUUUCUUAAGGAACCGACAAGAGGGUUUUGUGGCUAGGGUUUAGACAAUGAACUUGUAUAUAAACCAAGUAAUUUUAGUGGAUUCAGGGUAUCAGAUCCCGACGAGACGUAGAGUGAGUUUAAGAG
rnacentral:lncRNA from 1 species